rnacentral:rRNA from 1 species
AACGAACGCUGGCGGCAGGCCUAACACAUGCAAGUCGAACGAGACCUUCGGGUCUAGUGGCGCACGGGUGCGUAACGCGUGGGAACCUGCCCUUAGGUUCGGAAUAAAUCCCCGAAAGGGGGGCUAAUACCGGGUAAAGUCUGCUGACCAAAGAUUUAUCGCCUUUGUAUGGGCCCGCGUUGUAUUAACUAGUUGGUAUGGUAAAAGCCUACCAAGGCGACGAUCCAUAGCGGGGCUGAGAGGAUGAUCAGCCACACUGGGACUGAGACACGGCCCAGACUCCUAGGGGAGGCAGCAGUGGGGAAUAUUGGACAAUGGGCGAAAGCAUGAUCCAGCAAUGCCGCGUGAGUGAUGAAGGCCUUAGGGUUGUAAAGCUCUUUUACACGGCAUGAUAAUGACAGUACCGGGAGAAUAAGCUCCGGCUAACUCCGUG